rnacentral:tRNA from 1 species
ACCAGGAUGGUCGAGUUGUUAAGGUGUUGGACUUAAGAUCCAACGGCUGUAUAUCUGGGUGGGUUUGAACCUUCCUCCUGGUA